CUUCCCUCCAGGAGUUGCAGGUUGUCCCUCAGCAGUGGCUGCCUGCAGUAGCCACGGGUCCUAGUCUCCUGCUCCUACCGGCUCUCCCAGGGCCAGUCUCUUCACUCUUCUUCAAGUGGGGAGGGACAAGCAUACCCUCCCCAGAGCAUCGUGUGACGCCAUCAAUAUACCAGGAAGGAAGUGCUAGGAUCCUGCACCCAUGAUGACUCGGGGACCAUAAGCUACCAGAGGGAGGGGCUGGCAGGAAUUUGUGUCUUCAGGACCAUGACGAUAACAACAACAGUGACAACAGCAAAUAUGUACAAAUCACUGAGCAUGAACGAGGUACCACAUAUGUUAUGCACUUAUCCUUAUCAAAUGUUUAUACUAGUAAUGUUUAUUUGCAUUAAAACCAAGGCACAGAGAAAUAAAGCAAUCAUUUAAGACUA